GCUCCUGGCUCAGGAUGAACGCUAGCUACAGGCUUAACACAUGCAAGUCGAGGGGAAACGAUAUUGGAAGCUUGCUUUCCGAUAGGCGUCGACCGGCGCACGGGUGAGUAACGCGUAUCCAACCUGCCCACCACUUGGGGGAUAACCUUGCGAAAGUAAGACUAAUACCCAAUGAUAUCUCUAGAAGACAGUCUGAAAGGGAUUAAAGAUUUAUCGGUGAUGGAUGGGGAUGCGUCUGAUUAG
rnacentral:rRNA from 1 species